rnacentral:rRNA from 1 species
AGAAUCAACGCUGGCGGCGUGCCUAACACAUGCAAGUCGAACGCGAAAGCCCCGCAAGGGGUCAGUAGAGUGGCAAACGGGUGAGUAACACGUGGGUGAUCUGCCUCAGAGUGGGGGAUAACGACCCGAAAGGGUCGCUAAUACCGCAUAACAUCCUGCGCUUGGAUGCGUGGAGAUCAAAGUUGGGGAUUCGCAAGAACCUGACGCUUAGAGAGGAGCCCGCGGCCGAUUAGCUAGUUGGUGAGGUAACGGCUCACCAAGGCAACGAUCGGU